UACGAAGGGGGCUAGCGUUGUUCGGAAUUGACUGGGCGUAAAGCGCACGUAGGCGGAUUUGUUAAGUUAGGGGUGAAAUCCCAAGGGCUCCAACCCUGGAACUGCCUUUAAUACUGGACAAUCUCGAGUCCGAGAGAGGUGAGUGGAAUUCCGGAGUGUAGAGGUGAAAUUCGUAGAUAUUCGGAGGAACACCAGUGGCGAAGGCGGCUCACUGGACACGGUAU
rnacentral:rRNA from 1 species